AGAGUUUGAUCAUGGCUCAGAUUGAACGCUGGCGGCAGGCCUAACACAUGCAAGUCGAGCGGAAACGACUUAACUAAGCCUUCGGGUGACGUUAAGGGCGUCGAGCGGCGGACGGGUGAGUAAUGGCUGGGAACCUGCCCUAACGAGGGGGAUAACCAUUGGAAACGAUGGCUAAUACCGCAUAAUCUCUACGGAGCAAAGAGGAGGACCUUCGGGCUUCUCGCGUUAGGAUGGGCCCAGUUGGGAUUAGCUAGUAGGUGAGGUAACGGCUCACCUAGGCGACGAUCCCUAGCUGGUUUGAGAGGAUGAUCAGCCACACUGGAACUGAGACACGGUCCAGACUCCUACGGGAGGCAGCAGUGGGGAAUAUUGCACAAUGGGGGAAACCCUGAUGCAGCCAUGCCGCGUGUAUGAAGAAGGCCUUCGGGUUGUAAAGUACUUUCAGCAGUGAGGAAGGUUUAGUAGUUAAUACCUGCUAGAUUUGACGUUAGCUGCAGAAGAAGCACCGGCUAACUCCGUGCCAGCAGCCGCGGUAAUACGGAGGGUGCGAGCGUUAAUCGGAAUUACUGGGCGUAAAGCGCAUGCAGGCGGUCUGUUAAGUCAGAUGUGAAAGCCCGGGGCUUAACCUCGGAACCGCAUUUGAAACUGGCAGGCUAGAGUCUUGUAGAGGGGGGUAGAAUUUCAGGUGUAGCGGUGAAAUGCGUAGAGAUCUGAAGGAAUACCGGUGGCGAAGGCGGCCCCCUGGACAAAGACUGACGCGCAGAUGCGAAAGCGUGGGGAGCAAACAGGAUUAGAUACCCUGGUAGUCCACGCCGUAAACGAUGUCUACUUGGAGGUUGGAAUCUUGAAUUCUGGCUUUCGGAGCUAACGCGUUAAGUAGACCGCCUGGGGAGUACGGUCGCAAGAUUAAAACUCAAAUGAAUUGACGG
rnacentral:rRNA from 1 species